rnacentral:rRNA from 1 species
AACGAACGCUGGCGGCAGGCUUAACACAUGCAAGUCGAACGGAUCCUUCGGGAUUAGUGGCAGACGGGUGAGUAACGCGUGGGAACGUACCCUUUGCUACGGAAUAACUCAGGGAAACUUGAGCUAAUACCGUAUGUGCCCUACGGGGGAAAGAUUUAUCGGCAAGGGAUCGGCCCGCGUUGGAUUAGCUAGUUGGUGGGGUAAUGGCCUACCAAGGCGACGAUCCAUAGCUGGUCUGAGAGGAUGAUCAGCCACACUGGGACUGAGACACGGCCCAGACUCCUACGGGAGGCAGCAGUGGGGAAUAUUGGACAAUGGGCGCAAGCCUGAUCCAGCCAUGCCGCGUGAGUGAUGAAGGUCUUAGGAUUGUAAAGCUCUUUCACCGGUGAAGAUAAUGACGGUAGCCGGAGAAGAAGCCCCGGCUAACUUCGUG